rnacentral:lncRNA from 1 species
GGGGUCGUAUCCAAGAUAGUUUUCCACUCUAUACCUCUCUUUUGAGUUCAAUCUUGGUAAGGUCAAGGACUGUCCUGUGCUGGGGUUACAUACCACCGUGACAAUCACUGCUUUGUUCUUGCCCUGGUUAGCUCCAUAACAGAAGAAGCCAUUGGUACAACCAAAUAAGCCAUAGGAAGUUGGGAAACGCGCGAGGUGAUUGGCGGCUACAACAUGCGAGUUGUCUUCCGGAUUUUCAGGCUGAGACGACGAGAGGAAGUGAAUCUCGUGGCGGUAAUCAGAGCAGGCGAAAAGAAGCUGAGGGUGAGCGCAAGAUUGGGUCAAGAAGGAGUCUGUGAAAUCUUGGCUGCGGAGCACGGAGGACCAGAGCUUGCAUACGCAACGACAUGUCGCUAUAGACUUCAACGGCAGCCUCAAGAAUAUCUCUGUAACGACCUCGACAGGAAGCGUCAGUGAGUUUCGAUCAAGUCUGGUCGUCGAUCGCGUAACGCGCUGAGAAAUGCUUAGACCACCCUUCUGCCGCUUCAUAGCGAGAUACUUUUAGAACUUCUCUUACUACCCUGAAACAAAAUACAGUUAGCCACAGAUUCUACCAGAUAAACGAUCAAUGUCGAUUUUACAAAUUGCAGAAGAACGAACAUGAGGCACAUUAAUGUUUUCAGCAUUUCUUACCUCGAAUUCACUGGGAGACACUAGGUAAGAACAAUCGUAAAUCGUAGUUAGGGUUUAGAACUAUCCCCAAAAUCAUUUGUCGGGAAUGAUAAAAGAGAGUGAAGUAAUUUUAUAUGGGCCUUUUGUGGGCUUACACAAUAUUUAAAAUGAUGGGUUUACGAUGGGUCUGACCUGAAUUUUAUUAUAAACGUUAAAAACUACAAUGGUCUGGACAAACCAGUAACAUCCGCUGGCCAAAUAAACCGAAUCAGAAAACCCGAACCGAACUCGAUCCGGUAAAAAUAAAUCCGAACCGAUCCGAAGCCGACAUACCGAAAAAAUUUUGUUUUAUAGUAUUUCGGGUUAUGGGUAUUAUUCGAACCGAACCUGAAUUUAAAUGGAAAUAUCCGAUAGAACCUGAAAAAUUCAAAAUAAAAAAAAAAGUUUGUAUCAAACAUUCUCAAUUCCUAAUAUGUAUCUGAAAUAAAAUAAAAUAAAAUAUUAUUGAACAUCUAAAAUAGUUAUUUAUUACAUGAAGAUUGAUGGUUGAAGGUGUCGGUUGAAACUUGAAGGUUUUUAGAUUUUGGUUUUGUUUUCGAUGAAUAAUGUUUCUUAUUUUAUAUAUUUAUCUUUCGUUUGAUUUUGAAUGAUCAUAUUGGAUGUUCCUUUCUUAUUUUUGAAUCGAUUUUGCUUAUGUUUUAGUUACAAAAUAGGUACAAAACGGGUAUUAUAAAACCAAAUAACCGAUUUUACUUAUGUUUUUGGUUACAAAUAGAUACAAAUCAUGUAUUUUUAAACCGAAGAACCGAUUGGGACCUGAAUCCAAAUUCUUUGAAAAUUAACUAACCCCAACCCGAACUUGAACCCGUCCCAAACCAAACUUUCAUAUAACCCGAAUGAGACUGAUUUAGAUAAAUCUAAAAAACUAAGACCCGAUUAGACAAAACCGAAAUCCCAUUGGAACCCAAAUGCCCAUGUCUAAUUUGUCUCAUCUCAUGGAUCUAGAAAAUCAUUCUCUCUCUCUAUCACAGCACUGAAAGAUGACAUUCAAAAGCUUCUCAGUUUUGGAUUAAUAUUUAACUAUUUACAGCAUUUGUAACAAGAAGAUUGUCUCUCAUCCCCUGGUUGAAUCUUCUACAAGAGGUUGAUUUUCAAACUAAGACGCUAGAAAAAAAAAUGAAAACUACGUUUGAAAUGCUUAAAGAAACUUCACAUUCUCAACAUAGUUGAGGUAGGUGUUUAGCCUCUUACCCUGAAACGCCUCCAUUCCUUGGAUUCCAACUUCUCUGAUCGUCUUGCUCUUGACAUUGUAGUAGAUGACACAGGAAGACACUCUUUGGAAACAGGGGGUCAAAACAAUUUCAUCUACACCAACCAUUCCAGCAAUAUCCAAUCUAUCCUCAACUACACCCUUCCAAACUGGUGGUAAUACGUAAACAUGCCUGGACCACUCAUGUUUUGCAACGUCUCGAAGAACCCACAGCUCAAAUCUUUUACAUGAUCGAGUAACAUAAUAAUCUUCCGACGACAUAAGAAAACCUAAUCUGCCAUUGUAGUUUGUCAGAGUUGUUGAAGGAUAUCUAUUGAAACGCCUCAAGAGGUUCACAAAGCUGAACUUCUCAGUCCUCAAAUCAAAACAAACUACCAUAGAUUCCACCGAAUAUCUGAUUUCUUUAGCUAUAUAGUACAAAACGCCACUGAUGCAGAUCCACUUACCAGAAGAAUAAUGUCGUAUGCAACAUUCGACCAACCUCCACGACAGUUUCUUGGUUCCUAAUGUCAGAACAUGAAACUCCUUACCAUCAUCACAUGCAGACAACACCUUGAACUGUUUUGCAAUGGGGUCAUAUCCAAGAUAGCUUUCCGCUUCAACCCUGAUCCUCGUUUUCAAUCUUGGUAAGGUCAAGGACUGUCCUGUGCUGGGGUUACAUAUCACCGUGACAAUCCAUCGAUUAUUCCACCCCUUCAAGAUCCGUUCAGCCCCAUAACAGAAGAAGCCAUUGGUACAACCAAACAGUUUAUAGUAACGUGGGGAACGUGCAAUAUGAUUGGUGGCUACGACAUACGAGUUGUCUUCAAGAUUUUCAGGCUGAGGCGACGAGAAGAAGUGUAUCUCGCUGCGACCUUCGCAUGCAAAGAGAAGCUGAGGACGACGAGCACAAGAUUUGGUCAAGAACAGCUCUGUGAAAUCUUGACUGCGGAUCACGGAGGACCAGAGCUUGCAUACGCAAUGGCAUCUCGCUAUGGACUUCGACGGCAACCUCGAGAGUAUCUCUGUAACAACCUCAACAGGAAGCGUCAAUGAGUUACGAUCAAGCGUGGUCGUUGAUCGCGUAACGCGGCGAGAAAUGCUUAGACCACCCUUCAUGAAGGAGUAUGUUCCCUUACGGACGCUCU